UACGUAGGGGGCAUGCGUUGUCCGGAUUCAUUGGGCGUAAAGAGCGUGUAGGCGGCCAGAUAGGUCGGUUGUGAAAACUGGAGGCUCAACCUCCAGACGUCGACCGAAACCCUCUGGCUAGAGUCCGGAAGAGGAGAAUGGAAUUCCUGGUGUAGCGGUGAAAUGCGCAGAUAUCAGGAAGAACACCCGUGGCGAAGGCGGUUCUCUGGGACGGUACUGCCGCUGAGACGCGAAAGCGUGGGGAGCGAACAGG
rnacentral:rRNA from 1 species